UAAUACGUAGGGUGCAAGCGUUGUUCGGAAUUAUUGGGCGUAAAGCGUACGUAGGUGGAUUGGAAAGUCAGGUGUGAAAUCCCACAGCUUAACUGUGGAAUUGCGCUUGAAACUUCCAGUCUUGAGGAAGGUAGAGGUAAGUGGAAUUCCAGGUGUAGAGGUGAAAUUCGUAGAUAUCUGGAGGAACACUCGUGGCGAAGGCGGCUUACUGGGCCUUUCCUGACACUGAGGUACGAAAGCGUGGGUAGCAAACAGGAUUAGAUACCCUGGUAGUCCACGCCGUAAACUAUGAGUACUAGGCGUAGGAGGUAUUGACCCCUUCUGUGCCGGAGCUAACGCACUAAGUACUCCGCCUGGGAAGUACGGUCGCAAGAUUA
rnacentral:rRNA from 1 species